UUUGCCUACGGGAGGCAGCAGUAGGGAAUCUUCCACAAUGGGCGAAAGCCUGAUGGAGCAACGCCGCGUGAGUGAAGAAGGUUUUCGGAUCGUAAAGCUCUGUUGUAAGAGAAGAACGUGUGUGAGAGUGGAAAGUUCACACAGUGACGGUAACUUACCAGAAAGGGACGGCUAACUACGUGCCAGCAGCCGCGGUAAUACGUAGGUCCCGAGCGUUAUCCGGAUUUAUUGGGCGUAGAGCGAGCGCAGGCGGUUGG
rnacentral:rRNA from 1 species